CCCGGGCGUCCUCCUCCAUCAUGUCUUGGCCGAGCUCCCCAUCCCUUUGCUUAAAUACUGCUGCUGUAAUCCCUGCUGUUCUCAAGUUUUAGUUGUUUCACUUGGUGUCUUAGCGGUUCGUGUUUGUAAGUCUAAGCUCCUCUUCCCAGCCACCAACUCGAUCUGCCCUAGUCUUCCCAUCUCCUACUUAAGUCAAGGUCCAGUAGGCCGUGCAGUCCUAGAGCUCGAGUGAUCUCCUUGGCUCUUGUAGCCUAUGUUUCCCCGGAGUUAAUCCCCUCCCAAUAUCUUGGUCCAUCUGCCCAGAGCUUGGUGUACCAGUCCCUAGGUGGUGACCAUCGUCGGCUGUUAGUCCACCUCGCCGUGACCAGAUUAGCUGAAAACUGGAUUGCAGCAGAUUGCUCAGUUUGGAGCUCUCCUAUGACCAGUUCAUGAGGUUUUGGGUUACCAGUUGUAUAGAAAAGUCAAAGACCAGAUGAAGGUGAACAAGCUUCAUCAGAGGAGUGGGGCUUACUACUGUGUAAAAUAUGGAGAAAUAUGUGCUGCAAUUUUCUAUGUCAGGUGUUGUGUUCAGGUCUUUUUCAGUUAGCUGAAAUUUAGCCUUUGCGUUUCCACCUCAAGUUUGGUGCUCUGUAACUUGAGAUCUGUUUAGGGUUAGCUAGUAGCUGUUGUAACAAAGAUGGAGAGAGAUUAUAGAGGAACCAUUCAUAGUAAGGAAAUACAUUGAGCCCUCA